AAGAAGUUCUUUGCCAAGAGUGAAUCUCAAGGAAGGCAGCAGGACAAUAUUAAGACUGUUCAUGAUGUGCCACUAUUGCCAUAAAUCAGAACGGUAAGGAGACUGCAUCAUUCUGCAGAAGAUAUCUGCUUGGAGCUUCCAUAGCAGUCAUCCCAUCACUGUGAUCAAUCUUCCACCCCAAGUUGUGGUGACGGUGCAUUCUCUGAUGAAAGGUAAUGUUAUCAAAUUUCUUGGGAGGGUUAGGUAUCUUUCUGAUAUUAUCUCAAUCAAAUAUGUCAGUAACUCACACACGACCUGAUGUUUCUCUCUUCAGUCAAGUGUGACAAUGAAACUUGUUAACAUCUGGAAUAGCAAAUUACAAACUCAAGGGAGGUGCACAAGUACCCGCGAUGGGGAGUCAAAAGAAGAUAAACCAUUCCUGUCAUGUGUUCCUGAUCUGAGUAAGAGCUAAAUUUUUCUAGUGCAUGUUUCAGUUAAUUAGCUUCAUUUCUUUCACCCAAUUUUCAAGACUAUCUUAGACUGCAUUCUCAUUAAUCAUGAAAGCAUUAGAGAUCACAAUGUCUCUUUCUAAGUCUCCUACGUCGCAUAGUCUCUUUCAAAUUCCAUCUGGCUUGUGUUCUGAUCUUGUAAUAGAAUUGUCAUGCCUGACAUUUUUUAUUCAAAUUUUCAUUAUUUGCACCACAAAAAACUCAGUUUCUUAGAUUCUGGGAUAAAAUGGAGGGACUACCUUUCCAGAGAUUACAAUGCACAGCAGUACUGGAACAAAGAAUCUUAAGAAUCAGGAUACAAUACUCGAUGUCUCUUCUGGUUCGCAUUUUGUUGGUGAUUCAUUGGUUUCUGAUACCAUUAAUAAAAAACUGCUUGGAGGGUGCCAAAGUUCUCCGACGGGUUGAUAAGAAGUUUAUUCCGAUUGUGGCAGGCACAACACUUGCUAUAAUAGAUCAGCAUGCUGCAGAUGAGCGAAUAUUCGUUUGGAUUAACUGCACGUGAAGGUAACAUUGAUUUUGAGUCUUUGACCAUGCUUUUCCUGGUCAUGCCAAAAUUUGGUUACCAACUACUACACAACUAUGCUGACCAAAUUCAAAACAGGGGUUGGAUCUGCAACAUAUAUUAUUAAGCUUCAAGAUCAUUUACCAGGUAAGUUACGAUCUUUGUUUAGAUUUUUCAUCACACAAACAGUCUAUGGAACUUGAUAAAAUUGCCAUUUACCAGAAAUUCCAUUUCACUAAAUCGCAACAUUCAUUGAAGUCAAACCUAAUUCUGAUUCACAAGCAGCCAACAUCUGUCACACU